AUUGAACGCUGGCGGCAGGCCUAACACAUGCAAGUCGAGCGGAUGAAGGGAGCUUGCUCCUGGAUUCAGCGGCGGACGGGUGAGUAAUGCCUAGGAAUCUGCCUGGUAGUGGGGGAUAACGUCCGGAAACGGGCGCUAAUACCGCAUACGUCCUUAGGGAGAAAGUGGGGGAUCUUCGGACCUCACGCUAUCAGGUGAGCCUAGGUCAGAUUAGCUCGUUGGUGGGGUAAAGGCCUACCAAGGCGACGAUCCGUAACUGGUCUGAGAGGAUGACCAGUCACACUGGAAGUGAGACACGGUACAGACUCCUACGGGAGGCAGCAGUGGGGAAUAUUGGACAAUGGGCGAAAGCCUGAUCCAGCCAUGCCGCGUGUGUGAAGAAGGUCUUCGGAUUGUAAAGCACUUUAAGUUGGGAGGAAGGGCAGUAAGUUAAUACCUUGCUGUUUUGACGUUACCAACAGAAUAAGCACCGGCUAACUUCGUG
rnacentral:rRNA from 1 species